CACAUCCACUCGUUGCCACACACAUCCAAUAUCGGUCACCUGCUGUCAAUUUCCACUUUUCAAAAUAAAUCGCAGGCGCAUACCCACGAUUCGAGACAGUUCUCUUGUUAUCGAACGUCCCAGGCGAAAAUCUAGUUAUUCAGUUCAUUUAGUCGUGCGAGCGAUCGCUUAUUUUUCCGCAAAUCAGUCGAGUAAAUUGUCAAUUGUUUUACUAAUCAAGAGGGUGAGAAAUAGCAAGCAGAAGUCAUGGACAUUUUGAAAAGGAUGUUUGGAAAAGGCGAGGAUAAGAAGGAGCCCGCACAAGGGUUCAAGGAUGAGUUUCGGAAGCCAACUUGGUUCGAGGAGAGCGAAACUGACGACGAACUUUUCGACAGUAAAAAUAAAGUUCUGUUCCAGAUUUUCACGAAUCCACUUGAGCUGCAGAAACAUUUCGAUCAACAGAUGCAGGAAUUGUUGAAGAACCUCAAGCAGUAUGAAGAAACUGAGGAUUUUGAACGGAACUUCCGUGACGAGUACAUGAAACCUGGAUUUGAAGAAAGCAUUUCCGAGAAAUUCAAGCAACACGCAAAAGCCAUGGAUACGGACCUUGAUGGGGAGAUUUAUGCGGAUCAGCUGCAUUCGCUACUCCAACGUUUCGCACCGGAUAUGCGAUUGAUUCCAGAAAAUGAGAAACGAAAACCUUUGCAACCAAAAGUCAAAUUGUCCGAUGAAGAAACCAUCAUGGGGCGUAUCCACGGCACGAUCAGUGACGGUACGGAGCAACCACCAGCAAGACGUCGUGACAAGUUCCUUCAGAAAAUACCACCACAGUUUGGUGGUGUUUUCGAUGGAACAUACCAGGGCCCGAAGAUGUUUGGUCAGAGUAUCAUGACUCAAACUACUCGCAAACCGGACGGAUCAUAUGAAACAAAACGAGUCAUUCGCGAUACAGAAGGCAACGUCAAGACGACUAUAACGCGUUCAGCUGACGGUAAAACCGAGACCAUUACCACCUACGGUGAUGAGAAGGGGAAGGAGUCAAUUAAAGGCAACGCGCAGAAGAAAUUGCCAGUGGCAGCUAUGGACGCAAAUACGAGUUCGGAAUUGCGCAAUCUGUUCGUUUCGAAAGAAGGCUAUGCAUUGCCAAGGAACCUCUGGUGACCACAGGUCGUAGUAGCUGAGCAACUGAAAUUCAUUACUACACUUAUUAAUAAAUAUACAUGUCUAGCUAUCAUAACACUCAGUGUAAGGUUUUGCCGUUUUAUUAGCUGAAAAUUGGAGUGUACAAUCUAAUCUACCAUGAUUUUAAACCAACGAGUUUUUUGUCCUUCAUAAAAAACUGAAAAAGUUUCAUCUCUUUAUUGACACAAACAAUGUUAAGGGAAAGAACUAAGAACACUAAAGAGUCUUCUAAGCAUUUGGGCGAGAAAGUGCGACAAGUAAAAUAUAUGGAAAUUUAGUGGACCUGAUUCUUUUUCCGAGGAUUGCAGUCCAUCCUCCAGUAGACAUAAACUCUGAACUGUAGAAGGGAAGGAACACAAGGAUUUGGACAUUUUUGAUCAUUGUAUCGAUUUUCAUCAGAUUGAAAUUGAAAGAAAAGACUUAUAAUGACUGAAAACCCUUUAGGUAGGGAAGAUGAUGAUAUUUCCGCGAGUUUAUCGAACUUUCAAUAAAAACUUAAAUUUACAGUGAA
rnacentral:misc_RNA from 1 species